GUCUAUGACCAUACCACUCUGAACGAGCCUGAUGUCUGAUCUUGGAAACUAAGCAGGGUCGUGCCUGGUUAGUACUUGGAUGAGAUACCACCUAGGAAGACCAGAUGCUGUAGGCA
rnacentral:rRNA from 1 species